UACGGAGGGUGCGAGCGUUGUUCGGAAUCACUGGGCGUAAAGCGCGUGUAGGCGGUCUGCUAAGUCUGAUGUGAAAGCCCGGGGCUCACCCCCGGAAGUGCAUUGGAAACUGACAGACUGGAGUCCCGGAGAGGAGGGUGGAAUUCCUGGUGUAGCGGUGAAAUGCGUAGAUAUCAGGAGGAACACCGGUGGCGAAGGCGGCCCUCUGGACGGUGACUGACGCUGAGACGCGAAAGCGUGGGGAGCAAACAGG
rnacentral:rRNA from 1 species